rnacentral:rRNA from 1 species
AAUAUUACGCAAUGGAGGGAACGCUGACGCAGCGACGCCGCGUGAGCGAUGAAGGUCUUCGGAUCGUAAAGCUCUGUCCUUGGGGAAGAAGAUCUUAGGAUUUGACGGUACCCAAGGAGGAAGCCCAGGCUAACUACGUGCCAGCAGCCGCGGUAAUACGUAGGGGGCAAGCGUUGUCCGGGAUUAGUGUGCGUAAAGGGUGCGUAGGCGGCCUGUUAAGUAAGAUGUGAAAGACCACGGCUUAACCAUGGGGUUGCAUUUGAAACUGGAGGGCUUGAGUAUCGGAGAGGGUAGGGGAAUUCCCAGUGUAGCGGUGGAAUGCGUAGAUAUUGGGAGGAACACCAGUGGCGAAGGAGACUACCUGGACGAAAACUGACGCUGAUGCACGAAAGCUAGGGGAGCAAAC